CAUGCUUUCAAAGAGCUAUAUAAUAAAAAAUACUUUGUCUCUACUAACAAGGGAACUUCUCAAAGUAUCAAACACCGAUUUUAAUAAAAUUGUACACACAUUUAGAUAACAUAAUUAGAUGAUUUUAAAAAUUAUCAAUUGUUGCCAAUAUUUGGUGUCAAGUGGUGAAAUCAUCCCUUAUAUGUAUAGCGGUUUUUAGCUUUUUCCGUUAUAUCUUGAAAACUAUUCAAGACAUCAAAAAAUAUUUUAUACAAAAGAUUUACAAGAAAAUUACCUUUAUUCAUUCACGUUAAUAACAUUUUUUUUAAAUAAUUAUUUUUUAAAAAUUAUAAAAUAAUUGUUUAAGAAAUUACUCUAAAAAAAUAUUUGUAGCGGGUCAUGUGCGCUUUACAUGACGGAUCCCAAGCAGAACAACAAAUCAAAAUGACAUCAAAGUGAUUCACAAUUGUAUCAAAACGACAUCAAAAUGAAUCGUAAUUGAUUGAAAAGUGACUUUUAAUGAUCAUUAUGUAGUCACUUUGACAUCAUUUUGAGGUCGUGAUGACUCCCUGUUCUGCUUGGGAUGCAUGCCGAAUGGCAAUCCGCACACACAAUAAGCAUCUGCCAAACGGCAGCCCGCGAGGCAUCAAGGCCUUUAUCAAAUAUACAUCACUAGAUUUAUAUUUAAUAAAAAGAUGUUUAUUGGGACAUGUAAACGUGUUGACAGACAGAAUAAAAGUGAAGAAAAAGUUUAUAACAACAGAUGUUUAGUGUGUUGCUACGUAAUAAAAGAUAAUUGAACAUCUUGACAAGAAAAUCGAUAACGAGUGUAGAAAGUAUAAGUGCAAGGUGUAUGUGUAAGUGAAAAAGUGUAAGAACGCCACAGUACUCCCCCAAAGCGACGACUACGUUGCGAACUUUUUUCUUAGCAGGGUAAGUUCUUAAAGAUCUUAAAGCAGGAACAGAAGGAAUAGUAGCGGGGACAUCUGAACUGAUUGCAGGUUUUGUAGACGAAGAUCAAGAUGUGGAAGUAGAAACUGCAGAAAAGUUUUCUCUAGGAAAAAAAGCUAGUUUAAGCCGUUCUAGAAAUAUUGACAUUUUUAUCUAAAAUGUUUACAGAAAACAAAUAAUCAGAAAUGCGUUUGAUAACAAAAAAAGGUUCAAAAUAAAGAGGUUGAAGAGAUUUCUUGAUAGCAUUUUCACGAAUCUAAACAUGAGUUCAAUCGUAAAGAUUUUUAUGUACAAAAGGUAAUUGCUUGAUGUGAUGAGUGAUUGAUAAAGAUUUAACAUUUUUCAUGUGAAUUCUGUGUUUUUCCAAAAAGAUUUAAGGAUUUGCAGGAAAAUCUUCUUCAAUAAAAAAUUCUCCAGGAAUCCAAAAAGUGGUUCCAUAGAGUAAUUCCGGUGAAGGUUUUAAAUUUUCUUUAUAACAUGAACAAAGACCAAGAAGAACAGAAGAAAGAGAUUCUUUGUCUGAUGAGACAUAAUGACAGUCUUGACAGUCCUGUGCCACAUUUCCAAAAUGUCAUUUGAAGCUGGAUGAUAAACAGAAGUUCUUUUCCUGUCACAACUAAACAAAUUGAUUAAAGCCUUGAAGAGAGAUGCUUUGAACUGUAAUCCUUGAUCCUUAGUGAUGGUUAAGGGAAAACCGUAUUUAGCUAACCAAUGAGAGUAAAAUGCUGUAAAAACAGUGUCAGCAGAGAUUUCCUUAAAAGGAAUAGCUUCAGGUUAUCGUAAAAAACGGUCAAUAAUCGUAAGGCAAUAACGGAAAUUUAGACAAGAUAGAAGGGAACUAAUCAAGUCUAAGUGGACAAAACACUGAUAAAGUUAAAAACACUGAUAAGGUUAAAAACACUGAUCAAGAAAUGCGAUUUUAACAGGAGUAUUCUUCGUGUAUCUUGAUAUCUUAGAGUGUUGACAAGGUAGACACGUACAAGUCCAUUCUUUAAUGUCUUUUUUUAAACAUGGCCAAAUAAAUUUUUGCAAAAGGUAUUUAGCUGUUGAUCUACUACUGGGAUGAGCAAAACCACGAACAACGUCAAAAAUUAUCUUGCAAAGAGGUUUAGCCACGUAAGGACAAAUCAAUUCAAAAGAACAGUCGCAAUUAAUGGAAAUUGAGACACUAAGUAUAAGUUUUCUUAAUUGAAGAGAAGAGUUCGAAGAAAGUAAGUUUUGAAGUUUUUCAUCUUUUUUUUUGAAAAUCAGCCAACUCAUCAAGAGAUACUAUAAUUGGCAUUGAGACUGAUUCAAUUCUUGAAAGAGCAUCGGCCACAGAAUUUAACUUGCUUGAAAUAUAAACAAUGUUAGAAGAAAAUUGGGCUAUAAAAUCUAAUUAUCUGAUCUGCCUACGAAAUGCUUUAUCAAAUUUCUAACGAAAAGCAUAAAUCUAAGGUUUGUGAUUUGUUCUAAUAAUUAGUUGACGUCCUUCAAAUAAAUAUAAAUACUAAGGAGUUCUCGAUCAGACACUCCAACAGCAAAAUUAGAGACAUUGAAAGUUAAAAUCAAAGGAACGUGAGGUGCAGAAUAAGAAAGAGUAGUAACUCGGAGAAGUUUAUCGUUGUAAAUUUGAAAGGCUGCUUCAGAUUCAUUAUUCCAAGGGAUAACUCUUCUAUCUUUUUUGCGACUAUCCUUUAAAAAUUCUGUUUAAUAACUUGAUUUGAAACGAGGUAACCGAGGAAAGAAAGUUCUUUUUGUGCGAAAAGACAUUUGGAAGCAUUGAAAGAUAUCCCGGCUUGUAGUAAACGAUUAAAAAUAAUGCGCAAAUCGGUAAUAUGUUUUUUUUCGUUUUUGGAAGCUAUGAGAAUAUCGUCAAGAUAGCAAAAAGCAAAAUUUAAAUCAUUGAGCAAUAAGCUCAUUAAGCUUUGAAAAGUUUCAGCCGCGUUACGAACACCAAAAGGCAUGACCAAAAAUUCAAAAAGUCUAAAAGGUGUGGUAACAGCGAUCUUGUAAAUAUCCUCCUUAGCAACGGGUACUUGAUAAUACGCUUUAACUAAGUCAAUCUUGGAGAAGACCUUCUUACCAUAAAGUCCAGAAGUGAAAUCUUAAAUAUGAGGCAGUGGGUGACAAUCAGGAAUAGUGACCGAAUUUAACGCAGGAUAAUCACAACAAAGUCUCCAAAUAUUUUCCAAUUUGGAAAUCAUAUACAGAGGAGCUGUCCAAAUACUACCCGAAGGUCUACAAAUUCUUUGUUCCAUCAUGAACUUGAAUUCCUCCUUGGCAAACUUGAAUUUUUCCGGAGAAAGUCUUCUGGGAACUAAAAAUUUAAGAGAUUCUUCAGUGAUGAUACGAUGUUCAAAUCCAUGAGAUUUCACCGAAGAAAGAGGAGCAAAUCGAAUUGACUAGAAGAUCUGCCAUGGCGAUAAGAAACUUCAAGCGCAGCGAUUCUUUGUUCCAAAUCAGAAAAAACCGAUUGUUUAGAGGUUGAUUACGUAUUAAUUUUUGCAAUUUGAAAACCAUUAUCACAUUCAACAAUUUUAUCCGCAAGUUCCGAGAGCUUGACUAAUGGUACGUUUUCGACAACAGCAAAAGUUGCUUGAACUCUAUAUGGCGGAUUUUUAACAAUAUCCGAUAUCGCUACCGACUAAAGCUUGUUCAUCGAGAUGACGAAUAACGGAACUAUAUUUAAUAUCUUGUGAACGGAUACGCUAUACAGUAAAUUCAUUCUCAAUCUGAGCAAACCACAGCUUGGGCUGCUUAUGCCAAAAGGUUGGAAAAUUUAACAGUCGAAAUUUAUUAGAAUGGAUCUGAGUGGGCUCACCCGAUGAUUGAUGCCCGAAGAAAAAUUUAAAAUUUCCGUUCCGACCUGUUGUUGAAGAUUUACAGUCGACGCUGAAGUUGAAGUGGUCAAAGUCGACGGUGUUGACUCAGAUUUAACCGGAGUUCUGUCCACAGGUAUUUUAUUAAUGGUCUGAUGCUUCCAGAGAAGAGUCAAGACGAUCCAGAAAUCAAAACUCAAAGAUUCUUGAAGACAUCAUAAGGCACUCCAAAAAUCAAACUUCCUGCGACAAAAAAUAUUUUAGCACAUACCGUUAUCACGUCGAGGUCACCAAAAAUGUAGCGACUUAUUGAAUAAAUUACUAGAUUUAUAUUUAAUAAAGAGAUAUUUGUUGAGACAUGUAAACGUGUUGACAGACAGAAUGAAAGUGAAGGAAAAGUUUAUAACAACAGAUGUUUAGUGUGUGGCUAUUAUAGGUAAUAAAAUAUAAUUGAACAUCUUGACAAGAAAAUCGAUAACGAGUGUAGAAAGUGUAAGGUGUAAGUGUAAGUGAAAAGAACGCCACAAGCACGGCAAUGUGGCAAGCACAGGACAACGGCCCGCGGUACCGCGCGCAAACAAGCGCGCGCCUGAGUCACGGCCAAGCACAAGUACGUGAAGUAGCACGCGCGCUACACGUAAAUCAAAUUUCUACGUACACCCAAGGACUUUGAUUCUGUCCAUGGGGAAAUUUUCCAAACUGAGAAGUCGCUAUCUUUUUACAUACUUACAGUUCAUGACUAACGUAACAACCAAUAAGCUCUAGUUGUUUCAUUAAUCAUGAACUGUAGGUAUGUAGAAAGAUAGCAACUUCUCAGUUUGGAAAAUUUCCCCAUGGACAGAAUCAAAGUCCUUGGGUGUACAAGUGGCCGCAAAAAUAAGCAGUUACUCCUAUUUAAAAUUUUAUAGUUAGAGAAUAUAAGACACGCCGCUGCAAGAAACGGACACCUCACCAACGCCCUACAAGGCUAUAACCAUACUUGUAGAUAAAAGCGUAUUUUUUCCGAGCUCACCUCUCAUAAGGCAAACACCUUCAACCAAAACAACCGCUGCUGCCACUACUCUGGAGCUUUUGCCGUGGAAGCUGAUUCCGUUAGAAUCGGAGUCUCCUAAUCACACCCGGCCGCCGAGAGUGUAUCUCUCCAAAAAAGAUUACCGCCUGGCGGUACACUUCGCGGAGGUUUCGGGAUAUCCUCCGACUCGUUUCACCGCCAAUAUUGCCCACUAAGAGGAAAGUAGACGAUAUCGCGACACAAACAGAACAAUCUGCCCGAGUACAUCAAGGCGUGCAGGUAGAAUCAGACUCGUCGGGAAGUGACUGGGAGCCAAGCGGCAAGGACAUUGACGUUUAGCGCCCCACGUGCACGAGAGAGACGCUGAAUAAGCCACUAUCCACCGACUCGGUCACUCAGGUGGAGUCAAUAAUACCCGAAAGGACGAAAGAGAGCAGCCAGCCUCAUCUGCUCGAUUCGCUGAAAGUCUUGUCGUCUCACACUCCUCGGACCGAUCCGUCGAAGGUCUCGUCAUCUCGCAGGCAGCAGGACAAAAACCGGAGAUCUUGCAGAUAUGCAGUCAUCUCCCGGAGGUGCAGUCAUCCAGUCAAACAUCACCGAGAUUCCCGCCGCUCAGUCGGGCCGCGCGGUUUCUGCCGGGAAUCUCAUCGCUCAAACGGGCCUCUCGCCGGAAAACCCGCUCAACGGAGGCACCGCACCACGCGGAAGCGCUAAGAAAUAAAUCAAUACGGUCAACGCCACCAAUAGAGCCGCGGGAGAUACGAACUCGCUAGAGUUUCCCACCAGCGCCAACACCAGCAUAGCCAACAUCACCGGCGUUAAAUCCUAGCACCUAUAAAUAGUCCGUGUCAGGGCCAUCACCGAAAUAUAUAUGCAAAAAGAAAGAACUCCUGUACAUAUUGUAAAUAUUAUAGAAUAAAUUCGUAGCCUUAGAAGACGAAAA